rnacentral:rRNA from 1 species
UACGGAGGAUGCAAGCGUUAUCCGGAAUGAUUGGGCGUAAAGCGUCCGCAGGUGGCAAUGUAAGUCUGCUGUCAAAGCGUCUGGCUCAACCAGAUAAAGGCAGUGGAAACUACAUAGCUAGAGUAAGGUAGGGGUAGAGGGAAUUCCUGGUGUAGCGGUGAAAUGCGUAGAGAUCAGGAAGAACACCGGUGGCGAAAGCGGAUCUCUGGGCCUUACCUGACGCUGAGGCGCGAAAGCUAGGGGAGCGAACAGG